rnacentral:rRNA from 1 species
GUCGUGCGAGAAAGAUCUUCGGAUAUGAGUAGAGCGGCGGACGGGUGAGUAACGCGUAGGAAUCUACCUAGUAGAAGGGGAUAGCCCGAGGAAACUCGGAUUAAUACCGUAUACCUCCUUCGGGAGAAAGAAGGCCUCUCUUUGAAGCUUUCGCUACUAGAUGAGCCUGCGUAAGAUUAGCUUGUUGGUGAGGUAAAGGCUCACCAAGGCGACGAUCUUUAGCGGGUCUGAGAGGACGAUCCGCCACAUUGGGACUGAGACACGGCCCAGACUCCUACGGGAGGCAGCAGUGGGGAAUAUUGGACAAUGGGCGCAAGCCUGAUCCAGCCAUACCGCGUGUGUGAAGAAGGCCCUAGGGUUGUAAAGCACUUUAAGUUGGGAAGAAAAGUUAUUGAUUAAUACCCAAUAACCGUGACAUUACCAUCAGAAUAAGGACCGGCUAAUUCCGUGCCAGCAGCCGCGGUAAUACGGAAGGUCCAAGCGUUAAUCGGAAUUACUGGGCGUAAAGCGCGCGUAGGUGGUUUAUUAAGUUGGAUGUGAAAUCCCCGGGCUCAACCUGGGAACUGCAUCCAAAACUGAUUCACUAGAGUACGAUAGAGGGAGGUAGAAUUCACAGUGUAGCGGUGGAAUGCGUAGAUAUUGUGAAGAAUACCAAUGGCGAAGGCAGCCUCCUGGAUCUGUACUGACACUGAGGUGCGAAAGCGUGGGUAGCGAACAGGAUUAGAUACCCUGGUAGUCCACGCCGUAAACGAUGUCAACUAGCUGUUGGAGAACUAUGUUCUUCAGUGGCGCAGCUAACGUAGUAAGUUGACCGCCUGGGGAGUAC